rnacentral:rRNA from 1 species
GACGAACGCUGGCGGCGUGCUUAACACAUGCAAGUCGAACGGUGACGCAGGAGCUUGCUGCUCCUGCUCAGUGGCGAACGGGUGCGUAACACGUGAGCAAUCUGCCCCUGACUCUGGGAUAACUGCAGGAAACUGUAGCUACUACCGGAUACGACACGCCCAACCAUCUUCUGCGCGUGGAAAUAAUUUCGUUCAGGGAUGAGCUCGCGGCUUAUCAGCUUGUUGGUGAGGUAGUGGCUCACCAAGGGGACGACGGAUAGGCGGCCUGGGAGGGUGACCGGCCACACUGGGACUGCGAGACGGCCCAGACUGCUACGGGAGGCAGCAGGGGGGAAUAUUGCACAAUGGGCGCAAGCCUGAUGCAGCAACGUCGCGGGAGGGACGACGGCCUUCGGGUUGUAAACAGCUUUUGGCAGGGAAGAAGCGAAAGUGACGGUACCUGAAGAAAAAGCACCGGCUAACUACGUG